UUUGUCAGUUCUAAUAGUUUUUUUGGUGAGGUCUUUAGGGUUUUCUUUGUACAGCAUAGAAAACCCUGAAACCUUUUUCUUUGGGAAUCUAGAACACAAAACAAACAAACAAACAAAAAACAGACUCAUAAAUAUAGAUAGCAAACUAGUUAUUGCCCAAGGGGAGAGGUGUGGGGUGAUGGCAACAUAGGUGAAGGGGAUUAAGAGAUACGGACUUUCCAGUUAUGAAAUAAAUAAGUCAGGGAUGAAAAGUACAGCAUAGGGAAUGUAGUCAGUAUUGUUGUAAUUAUGUUGAAUGGUGACAGAUGGUAACUACAUUUAUGGUGAGCAUUGCAUAAUGUAUAGAACUGUCAAAUCACUAUGUCAUACACUUGAAACUAAUGUAAUAUUGUGUGUUAACUGUACUUCAAUAAAAAAAAUAAGGAAAAGACUGAUUUCCUGUAGCUUAGAGCAAACUAUACUAAAAAUCAGGCCCAGAAUCUGAUUGUAAAGACAGCAGAGCUGAAAAAGCAACAAAAUGCAUAGAUUUACAAGGUCUCCUAUGUCCACAUCUGGUCCCUGAAGGAGCAAAGUGAUCUAAGACCCAGGAUGGAAUAUUUGUAUGGAUGAGUCUGAGAAUAUUGAAUCUCCUAAUUCUCCCCUGAACCUGUGGAAUACUGGAAAAGAUUAGCAGCCAGUUCUCAGGGGAGGGGUUGGCAGGGAAGGACCAUGAUUUGUAGCAUUAGCCAAUUUCUAUUGAAUAAACACUCCCACCUUAGUCGCUUUCAGACUACCAACAUAAUGUCACUGAACACAGAAUUAAAAAGUGAUGCCCACAAUUGGCUCCUAUAAGCUGGUAUGAACUGGCUCCAACCCAUCAGUAACCUGAACCCUCUGGCUGGCGGAAUCAGCACCUCCACUUUGCCAGAGGAAAAGAGUCUUCUCUUGCCUGUAAAUCAUGCAAAGACUGUUGAAGCAAGUGGCUCUCCAAAAGGAUGUGUGGCCAUUAGCCGGGGUAACUGUGCACUGGAAAAAAGGAAAUGCUCAGAGUCUUCAAGGAUUGUUAGAUACAGGGCACCUGGGUGGCUCAGUUAAGUGUCUGCCUUUGACUCAAGUCAUGAUCCCAGGGCCCUGGGAUUGAGUCCUGCAUCAGGCUCCCUGUUCAUUGGGGAGUUUGCUUCUCCCUCUGUGCUCCCGCCCCCACUUCCUGAUCUCUCUCAAGCGCUCUCUCUCUCUCUCUCAAAUAAAUGAAUAAAAUCUUAAAAAAAAAAAAAAAGAAUUGUUAGAUACAGUGUCCAAACUGUCACUGACACCACCAUAUUUCUCUAAUUAGAAUGGAAACCAGUGAAGUUUUGCCUCAACUUCAACUUAUUGUGAGUCCAGUAGGUCUAUGAACACAUUCUGUGGUUAAAUCAAUGAUUGUAUAAUUAGGACAGAUGACCUUAACAGAUGGUAAAAUCCUCAUGUUGGUCCCCUGACCUGUGGAGCAAUUGCCAUUAUGUAGGAUGGACCAUAUAGAGGGUGUUAAAACUGCCACUAUUACCCUCAGUCAGGUUAGUAAUUCAGAAGCAUGACAGCAUCUUAGGAAGAAAUGCAAAGACUUAUACCACUAUCAAAUAUUUAAAGGAUGCAGAGUUUGUGGUUUCUUUUAUAUCUCUAUUCAACCAACUCUCCUAUCUAACCCUUACAAAAAUGGGAUUGUGGCAGGUGAUAGUAGACCACCAUAAAUUAAGCCCCAGUAGAAGCUUCCAUACUACAUGUAGUCUGUUCAUUAGAUCAGAUCAACAUAGAUUUGGCAUUGGUAUAUAGGUAUUAACUGGUUAAUGUGCUUUUCCGAAUUUCUAUCAUUAGAAAGGAUCAAAAGCACUUUGUCUUUAGAGAGGCAGUUGCCUCAGGGCUAUUUUAACCCAUCUGUUCUCUGUCCUAGUGGGCACAAAGGGCCAAGUACUCCAAAUCAUUGCUUCUCAUAGUUUUGUUUGUUUGUUGUUUGUUUGUUUGUUUGUUUUUCCAAUAUGUCUUGCAGUGGUAUUUUUGGAAAUCACCACUGAAUUUGACUGUUCAGUCCUUUGGCCUAAGGGGAUUCUCUAAGACCAACAGAUGGAGAAGGAAAGAACUUGGACCUGGUUUACACUUGGCUUGGUACAAGAUGUAAGUGUUAUAAAAAAAAAUGCACUCCUGGUGCCCACAGUACAGUGAUGGUGGGAAAUCUUCCCUUGGGAAGAUUUGUGAGCAAUACCCUUGAUUGUUGACUUCUUAGGAAGAAGUGGUCUGAGAUAUAGAUAUGGAUAUACAGGAACUUCUAGGCAGAGUGAAAUGGCUUGGCUAAUUGAUUCAGGACCUGAAAAAAAAAUGAUUGAAAUAUUGGGGACAGAUUGGUCUGGAAAACAAAAUUUGAAUGGAUCUGAGGGGAUGAGAGUAUCUCUGUGUCUCAUGUUAAUUUCCCAAGAGAGCAUUCUCCGGCACCAGGUAAACGACAUGACUUGUGUUGUGGUAUCAACUAGCAAGCAUGAGGAUCUAUGAAUGGAGACGUCAUGGUGGCAGUGAUGGAAAUAUUGCAUGGGCCAGAAAAUUCUGAUCUAGCUAGAUUAAUGGCCAUUGCUGAAUUCCCAACUUGCCACUUGCAGAUACCAAAACUGAGCCUUUAAUUGCCAUUGCUCUUUGAGAAGACCAGUAGGCCACUUGAUAGCAGAUUGAUUACACUGGAACACUUCUACCCUGGGGGAGGCAGUAAUGCAUCCUUAUCAGAACUGGUACCUAACCUAGUCAUGAAUUUGCCUUCCUUGUCCUCAGCGCCAGGACCAAUAUUCAAGAAUGUAUGGAAGCCUAAGAUUUUGACAUGGUUUCUCUCACAAUAAUGGUUCAGACCAGAGAAUAUCUUUUAUGACAAAAGAGAGGAAACAACAAACACAGGAGCCAAUGGUCUUAACCUCGUAACUCAUCUGUAUUAGCCAGAUUUUGUUCCAUAACCAAAUACUCCAGACAGUGCAAAGUUGAGGAAUGCCCUCCACAAUAUGGUAUAUGCCCUGAACCAACAGUUAAUAUAUAGUACUAUGUUCCCCAGCAACUAGAAUAUAAGGGGGCAAGGAAAAAAGAAUAGAGGUAGGAUUAACCCCUUUUAGUGGAUGGGUGCUGUUGGUGCUUUGCUUAAAUGUCCUUUACCUACUCACACACUCAUCCCCCAGCUGUUGUGAGUAUUGACUGAGAACUGUCCUUAGCCAAAGAGCUGCCUCAUCCAUGACAUCUACCCCCAUCCCUACCCCCCCUCCCCGCCGCUGACAGACACUGGCCAGUGAUAGACUGACAUGAGGGCACAAAAGAGUAGAGGAGAGAGACAUGAAGACUUUCAAUUAUGACCUUAAUAUUAUCUUCACCAGCAGGGACUUUACCUUGUGUCAUUAACCUUCUUGCCUUAAGUCUUUCCAGAGAUGGUGGCUGGAUAUCAUCUUGAACAGGACUCUGUGACGAAAUGAACUUGUUCUUUCCCCCUUAGGGAGGAAGUGAAGGAAUGAUCUACUCACAAAAAUCGGUGCUUCCACUGCAGUAUACGGGUGAAUAUAAUGGGAAGCAUGAAUGAAAAUGAGUGGUGAAAAAGAUGCAUUUUAUCAAACAUUGUACUCUAAUGCUCUUGGCCUCAUCAGCCUCAGGACUAGUAGCCAUUUGUUUUGUCCCAGCCAACGUGUGACAGCCAACACCUGGUGGGCUGUUCUGCUAUGGCAAGAGACUUCACAUUAGCACAACUGGAUGGUUAGCUCACCUUAUAACCAAACAAUAUUAUGUCUCACCUCCUGCCCUGGAGUUUUUCUUUUGGAAAAAGACUAAUGAGAUGCUGCGGGACCUGCCAGUACUUACACAUGAACAACCCAGAAAUGUGUGGGAUUCAACUUCCAUGAGGAAAAAUGUUGACAAGGGGAUCUAAAUUCUCUUUGUUCUUCUCAUAAGUUUGUUCUGCGAUAAGGGUCAUUUAUAUUACCUCUUGAAAGAUGCUCCCUCGAGACUAAGCAAUUAAUUGUAUUUCAUACUGAGUGAAUCCAAGUUCACAGAAGGAGCAGUGAAGUGCAUACACAUAUAGAAAAUGGUUGCAAAGGAUGAAUAAUGCAAAGAUAGUUUCCCCUCAUUAAUUUUAUUUUCACACAAUAAAUUAGGUUUGUAAAAUUGUACUAUGUAUGGUGUUCGGUAAUAAAAAAAUGAUAUGAUCUAUAAUUUAAAAAUGUAUACAAUCACUAUUGUGAGGUUCUUAUGUUAUAUGUAAAGUUUCUUAAUAUCAAUUCAUUAGAUCUGCAUAUUAUAAUCACUAUAGUAACUAACCUCCAAAAAACUGGAAGCAGAUAUAACUGAAAAGAAAAUACACUUCAGUUGAAAGGCAGUACUA